GUGGAAGUCGACCUCCAUGGAGUUCAGGUA
rnacentral:piRNA from 1 species